rnacentral:rRNA from 1 species
AGAGUUUGAUCCUGGCUCAGGAUUAACGCUGGCGGCAUGCCUAAUACAUGCAAGUCGAAUGAGAAGCUUGCUUCUCAUGGCGAACGGGUGAGUAACACGUAGGUAACCUGCCUUACACUCGAGGAUAACCGUUGGAAACGACGGAUAAUACUGGAUAGGACAGAGAUUCGCAUGAAGCUCUGUUUAAAAGCAAUGGUGUAUGAGGGGCCUGCGGUGCAUUAGCUAGUUGGUGAGGUAACGGCUCACCAAGGCGAUGAUGCAUAGCUGGACUGAGAGGUUGAACAGCCACAAUGGGACUGAGAACGGCCCAUACUCCUACGGGAGGCAGCAGUAGGGUAAUUUUCGGCAAUGGGGGAAACCCUGAACCCGAGCAAUGCCGCGUGAACGAUGAAGUAUUUCGGUAUGUAAAGUUCUUUUAUUAGGAAAGAUAGUGACGGUACCUAAUGAAUAAGCUCCGGCUAACUACGUGCCAGCAGCCGC